GCGCGGCCGAGUUUCGCCACCAUCGUUGCCCCUUGCUGCAGAAGUGACGAUUAGAGCCCGGCUCCCGUAGGAGUUUGGGUGAAAUCUUUCCUGGCGACGGAACCCGGCUCCCGUAGGAGUCCGGGCGAAGUCUUGCUUGGCGGUGGAACCCGGCUCCCAUAGGAGUCCGGGCGAAGUCUUGCUUGGCGGCGGAACCCGGCUCCCGUAGGAGUCCGGGUGAAGUCUUGUUUGGCGGCGGAACCCGGCUCCCG
rnacentral:lncRNA from 1 species